UAGCUUUCAAAAAAAAAAAAAAACCUAACGCUUUUCACAUCAAACUCACUAAAAUAUGAGGCCAUAAUGGCAAUAUUUCCCCAGGAAAGCUUUCUAUCCUCCCCAUUAGACUGCGGCUUUGGUAGAUGCAUUUUCCAUUCAAGCCAACAAUCGUUUUCGUUUCAAACUUGGCUACUCACCUAUCCAAUUACUUGGAAAAUUUCCCACCUCAAUAAUUACCUGAACAUCCACCUGAUCCACAGCCUUCUCCCAUCUACCAGCAAGUGAUGCAUGAGACAUUUGUGUUUGCUUCUAAUGAACACGAGUGACAUAAACUUUCCAAAAGAUUAUAAAAGGGCUUGGAAAGCAGUGCAAGAUAUAGCAUUGGAUAUGAAGUUGGCAAAAAGGCAGGCAGCAGACAACAAGAGGAACACUGUGAGCUCCAGAAACACCCCUGCUGGAUCAGAUGAACAGGAGUCGAGAUAGUUUCUCUGUGCAUCACAUGGUCUGGCCUUGGGGUGACUUUGUUGGAACGCGUCUCAUGGGAAGGUUGAGGCAUUGUGUUGACACCCAGCUGAAUGUUUCAGACCAGCAAACUGCCAAAACUUCUGCUUGUGUACUCCUGUUUUUCAUACAACUUUCUCAACUUGUAAAGAGUUAAAAUGAUGUUGUUCCUAUUCACUUAUUACUUCAGUUUGAUGGUGUUCACUACAGCGGGUCGAACAGUGCUUUUAAUAAAAACUAACAGCACUUCUUCAUUGAAAUGAAGUCAUUGAAAUGACUUGGAUAGCAGUUACCACAGCAGCAAUUGAAACACAAAUCGAGGCCAGCAUGGAGGACUGAAUGUGUCCCUCAGUGACUGAAUGGCAGAAUGUAAUCUUUGUAUUAGCACUUGCUGUAACCCAUUUAAAUGGUACACUGUGUAAGCGCAACACACAUCAGCUGUACAGUAUAGUACAUAUCAAAAUAUUGUCUUAUUGUGAGAAACACUUGAGUUAACAAGGUGAAAGCGAAGGUCUAAGAUCUUGGAGUGUGUUUCUUUCACUGAUUAUUAAAUCGAUUAUGAUGAAGUGAGACAAAGAAAAAACACACCAUAAACUGCAAGGUUGAAAAUUUUAAUUCUUGCAAAGUUUUUUUCCUAAAAUGGGAGCAGGUUUGUUUUUUUAAAUCAUAGUUGAAAACAUACAGAGAAAAGUUUGGCAACUCAGAACAGGAACAAAUGAGUGACUCAAUGAAGAGGAAAUAAUACACUGACAUUUACAACAGAAUACAGUACAAGUUGUUGAAAAUAUCCAUCAACAAGAAGAAAAAAAGUGUCACAGCUGCAGCAGUUUACUGCCAUCGUGAUCAAAGCUGUAUUUGUCAAAUUUGAAAAAUUUCAUAUUGGAGAGGAAGAAAAAACAUUAGAGAAAAAAGUAAAACUCUAUGCAGAGGUAGAGCUCAGUGCACAAGGCUAUGACAGACACACACACACACACACACACACACAC